AGGGGGUUGUCAGAGUGUAACUUCUUCAAAAUGCUUUUCCAGCCAGAUUACCAGUUUGAUUCAAAAAUAUACUGAACACAGUAUACACUGAGCCCUGUAUGAAGCCUGAGUGUUCUUUUUAUUUUAUUUUUUAACACACUGCAUUGCUUUUAAAUCACAUCGAGAUUAAAUCACAUCUGGAGAGCACAAGAUUUCUAGGCAAAGCUCUGAUAUCUGACCUGAUGCUCAAUUUGCGGAGAAUGACCACGGAGAGGAAGGGAGGGAGACUGUCAGUGGGGAAAAGCAACUUAAAACCUGCCAGUAUCUUGCAAGCUACGGCAUUUUAAGAGUUGUUUAAGAGAAGCUGAUUUAGGGCAAGAGACAUUUUUUUUUCUUUUCUUUUUUGGUGGAAUGAGAAUCAUCAAAAUGAAACCCAGGACAAGAAUGAGCUUGCAAAACUAAGCUCAUCCUAUUAAAAGUAUUAAUCCAAGGUAUGUGCUUAGAACCUGGAUGGCAGAAUCAGCUGUCCAGAAGGCGGAAAUGAAUGAUUUUUCAGAGGUCCACUUCUUGCAACAAGUUUUGCAACAUCCAUUUCAGCCACAGACACUGGCCGAGAGAGCUGGUUAUGCACAGCGCCCCCCUGCUUGGGCUAAUGAUGUUAAAGUCAGCUGUUCAUCUUGAUGAAAAUAAUUUGUAAUCAAGAUUAAAUGAAAUGAUUAAAUUACAUUUCCCCUCCGUUAUAUAUUGUAUUGCUAU